rnacentral:rRNA from 1 species
GACGAACGCUGGCGGCGUGCUUAACACAUGCAAGUCGAACGAUGAAGCCGGAGCUUGCUCCGGUGGAUUAGUGGCGAACGGGUGAGUAACACGUGAGCAAUCUGCCCUUGACUCUGGGAUAACUGCGGGAAACUGUAGCUAAUACCGGAUACGACACCUUGGGGCAUCCCAGGGUGUGGAAAGAAUUUCGGUCAAGGAUGAGCUCGCGGCCUAUCAGCUAGUUGGUGAGGUAAUGGCUCACCAAGGCGACGACGGGUAGCCGGCCUGAGAGGGUGACUGGCCACACUGGAACUGAGACACGGUCCAGACUCCUACGGGAGGCAGCAGUGGGGAACAUUGUACAAUGGGCGAAAGCCUGAUGCAGCAACGCCGCGUGAGGGAUGAAGGCCUUCGGGUUGUAAACCUCUUUUAGCAGGGAAGAAGCGAAAGUGACGGUACCUGCAGAAAAAGCACCGGCUAACUACGUGCCAGCAGCCGCCGUAA